rnacentral:rRNA from 1 species
UACGAGUGCUCCAAGCGUUAUCCGGAAUCAUUGGGCGUAAAGGGUGUGUAGGCGGUAGUGUUAGUCUCCUGUCAAAUUCUUCGGCUUAACCGGGGGUCCGCAGGGGAAACGGCACAACUAGAGGAUGCGAGAGGUGAAUGGAACUCAUGGAGUAGGGGUGAAAUCCGUUGAUAUCAUGGGGAACACCAAAUGCGAAGGCAAUUCACUGGCGCACUCCUGACGCUGAAACACGAAAGCGUAGGUAGCGAAUGGG